rnacentral:RNase_P_RNA from 2 species
AAGGCUGGCUGGAUAGUCGUGCAGUUUUAACUGUAAGGAAAGUCCGAACACCAAAGAGCAGGAAGCCUAAGAAAUUUAGGGUGCAGUAAUGUAACGGAAAGUGCAACAGAAAGUAAACAGCCACUUAGUGGUAAUGGUGAAAAGGUGUGGUAAGAGCACACCGCACACUCUUGUAAAAGAGGGUGGCAAGGUAAACCCCUUCCGGUGCAAGACCAAGUAGGUUCUCUUAUGUGGGUUGCUCGUCUGCAAUUAAAGAGAAUGGGUAGGUCGCUUGAUCAAUCUUUAGGAUUGGAAAAGAUAAAUGACUAUCACUGUUAAUUUUUUAACAGUACAGAAUUCGGCUUAUAAUCCGGCCUUUCCU